GACCAAGUCGAGGAGAAUCUUUCCGUUUAUCAAGUAUGAAUCUUGUCAAACAAAUCAAUGGCUGAAAUGCAUCAAGUGGAGCAAAAUCAAAAUUCAGUUUUGGGAAUUCCAGUCUAUAAAAUCAUUGAAGAGGUUAAAUAUGCUGCAAAAGUAUAAAGAUGUCACUGAGAAACACAUAUCUGAUAAAGAUCCCUCCUGCUUGAACUUGAAGUCUGCCUCAGAAAGAUCUCGAAGUGGUGGAAGAAAGUUGACAUGCAAAAAGGACAAAAAGAGACAAAAGAUAGCAAAUGAAUUUAUAAAAUAAAUCUUGUAUCAAAAGAAAUAUCAUUGUAUUACUAAAUUUGAUAUUGUUCCUCAGUAAAUUUGUAUUCAUUUAA